rnacentral:rRNA from 1 species
UAAGACAGAGGGUGCAAACGUUGUUCGGAAUUACUGGGCGUAAAGCGCGUGUAGGCUGCUCGAACAGUCGGGUGUGAAAGCCCUGGGCUCAACCCAGGAAGUGCAUUCGAUACUGCCGAGCUUGAGUCCUGGAGAGGAAGGCGGAAUUCUCGGUGUAGAGGUGAAAUUCGUAGAUAUCGAGAGGAACACCGGUGGCGAAGGCGGCCUUCUGGACAGUGACUGACGCUGAGACGCGAAAGCGUGGGGAGCAAACAGGAUUAGAUACCCUGGUAGUCCACGCCGUAAACGAUGGGUGCUAGGUGUCGCGGGCUUUGACCCCCGCGGUGCCGAAGCUAACGCAUUAAGCACCCCGCCUGGGGAGUACGGCCGCAAGGCUA